UACGGGGGGGGGCAAGCGUUGUUCGGAAUUACUGGGCGUAAAGGGUUCGUAGGUGGCCAACUAAGUCAUACGUGAAAUCCCUCAGCUUAACUGGGGAACUGCGUCUGAUACUGGUUGGCUUGAGUGCAGGAGAGGAACGCGGAAUUCCAGGUGUAGCGGUGAAAUGCGUAGAUAUCGGGAGGAACACCAGUGGCGAAGGCGGUUGCCUGGAGCUUUGCUGACGCUGAGGCGCGAAAGCGUGGGGAGCGAUCCGG
rnacentral:rRNA from 1 species